UACGUAGGGUGCAAGCGUUGUCCGGAAUUAUUGGGCGUAAAGAGCUCGUAGGCGGUCUGUUGCGUCGGCUGUGAAAACCCGGGGCUCAACUCCGGGCCUGCAGCCGAUACGGGCAGACUAGAGUUCGGCAGGGGAGACUGGAAUUCCUGGUGUAGCGGUGAAAUGCGCAGAUAUCAGGAGGAAUACCGGUGGCGAAGGCGGCAUCCUGGACCAUUACUGACGCUGAGGCGCGAAAGCUAGGGGAGCAAACGGG
rnacentral:rRNA from 1 species